UCAGCGAUUGGGGUGAAGUCGUAACAAGGUAGCCGUAGGAGAACCUGCGGCUGGAUCACCUCCUUUCUAUGGAGAAA
rnacentral:rRNA from 1 species